GAGAUGAGCGUCGCAGCAGACAAAGGGCACGGCAGAGAGAGGGACAGAGAGCGACAGCCCCCGGAGCCGAGGCCGGCAGUUCCUGCCCAGCCCCCUGCCUUGCCCCUGGCUUUGGGGAAAGUUUCGCGAAGCUUGAGCUUCCUGGAUUUCACUGAAGACCUGUCCGGGCUGUCCCUUCCCUUCCUCCCCUCCCCUCCCCUCAGCUGGCCCUGCACAGCCCAGAUAACCAGAUAAGGGCCUCUUUGAUUUUCAGUGUGUUUACACAGGCUGUGGCCCUGAGUUGCAGAAAGAACUGACGACAUCUGGGCCAGUGGGGACGCCUCCAGGUGGGUGAGGGGAGACAGGCCACUUACCUGCUCCUGGGAAUUCAUCACUCGUAACUUCAUCUGCUUCAGAGAAUUCUUCUUGGUUCCGAGGCAGAGGGUCUGUCUGACACCCACACACAUAAGCUCCCCUGGCACAGACGCCUGGUGGCAUGGGGAAAUGGAAGCCUGUUUUUAUGCCCUCGUGCCUUCUCCUCCUUGCUGCCCCACCAUCAACCUAGAGCGGACUCCCUCAAACCAGACUGAGAACUCUGCAGUUUCCGUUUCAUGUCCUCAAAGAGGUAGCUGGCUGGAGAGAAGCUGUGAAGGGGCUUGGUACUCGCCAACGGUCCCCCUCACUCUCACGGGCCCUGGCCAGACGCCCAAGUGAUGGCCUCAUCGGGCUUCACAGUGACUGCUGGUUGGUCCAUGGAGGCCGAGAGCUGUGUUCUGUUGCUGAUGGCCACCACAUCCUGCCUAGAGAGCUGUGACUGUUUAUGAGCCGGUGUCCUAAAUAAAGCCAGGUACUGUUUGGCUGAAAAAAA